rnacentral:lncRNA from 1 species
UGAGGUUCCAAAGAUCCGUGGUGGUGGCUUCUUGUCUAGUAAACAUGAUGUAAUUUUUGAGGAAAGCCGUCGAGAGGCCGUGAAAACUAUCAACGGAGUUCUCCUGAAGACCGGUGAACCAGUUAAGAGCGAUACCUUCUAGGGUUUCGACGAAAAGUUGACAAAAGCCGGCGUCUUUUUCCUCAUCAGAGAGGUUCGUGCGUCGCAUCGCGAUAUUGAAGGAUAUGACGUGAGCAGAAGGGUAGGAUACACCGUCAAAGGUUGGAAGACGGAGCUUUUCCAUCUUUCGGAGGCGGACCUUCGUUAUCUUUUCGGUGAACGGUGUCC